CCUUCCCGUUCUCCUUCCCGUUCUCCUUCCCAUUCUCCUUCCCGUUCUCCUUCCCGUUCUCACCCUGCCUGCUCUGUUUAACGCAGACUCUCCGUCAGUCUGCAUCCGGUCUCCAUGGCAACCACUGCUGGACCAACCCACGGUGGUCUCAGCGACUGACGUCAGGACGGAUGUUAGCUGGACUCAGGCGCGUUGCCAUGGAGACGGUGGGUGGAGUAAACAUUAACGCUCAACAAGGCGAUGCCCAUCCAUCAGAGGUCCAUCAAAACCCAAACAGUGGAGGUGGCAGUAUUUCUCACCGCCUGAGUUCCUGUAAAAUCCUCUGCGAUCGAUGUGAACAUAUUUAAGUUCUUUAAAGAAUAAACAUAUUUGUGUAAAGUC